rnacentral:lncRNA from 1 species
AAUUGAGUUCCCUGAGGGUGGCAGAAGAGAGAAGAGGAAGCACCUGCCCAUCAUCAGCCCAGGAGAGGCAUGGAGACUGGUAGGCCUGCCCAGUUUGCUGAAGGUCUUCUUGUGAAGCUAUGACCAGCAGACAAGAAGGUAUCAGACAAAAUGGGCUUUAGCCACCCCUUCGCUCCUGAAGAAGUAGAAAGAGAGACAACGAUUGUAGAGAGCCCAGCUCCAGAGACCACAAGAUGGUUCAGUAGGAGCUCCACACUGCCCUCUGAUGCCCAUUUCUUCCAGAAUGGAGAAAAACUGACUCCAUUAGUUCUUUAACUAAAGGAACCAGCAGAAGUCCCUAUGAGAUUGAUCCAUCCUACAAGCAGCUUCACCCUUUACUUGUGGGAUCCAGGACACACCGUCUGGACACAC